GCUGGGCAUGGUAGCGCAUGCCUAUAAUCCCAGUGACUUGGAGGCUGAGGCAGGAAGAUUGCAAGUUCAAAGCCAGCCUCAG
rnacentral:sRNA from 1 species